rnacentral:rRNA from 1 species
AUUGAACGCUGGCGGCAGGCCUAACACAUGCAAGUCGAGCGGCAGCGGGAAAGUAGCUUGCUACUUUUGCCGGCAAGCGGCGGACGGGUGAGUAAUGCCUGGGAAAUUGCCCAGUCGAGGGGGAUAACAGUUAGAAACGACUGCUAAUACCGCAUACGCCCUACGGGGGAAAGCAGGGGACCUUCGGGCCUUGCGCGAUUGGCUCUGCCCAGGUGGGAUUAGCUAGUUGGGGAGGUAAUGGCCCACCAAGGCGACGAUCCCUAGCUGGUCUGAGAGGAUGAUCAGCCACACUGGAACUGAGACACGGUCCAGACGCCUACGGGAGGCAGCAGUGGGGAAUAUUGCACAAUGGGGGAAACCCUGAUGCAGCCAUGCCGCGUGUGUGAAGAAGGCCUUCGGGUUGUAAGGCACUUUCAGCGAGGAGGAAAGGUCGAUGCCUAAUACGUAUCAACUGUGACGUUACUCGCAGAAGAAGCACCGGCUAACUCCGUGCCAGCCGCCGCAGUAAGAC